UCGAACGGCAGCACAGUAAGAGCUUGCUCUUAUGGGUGGCGAGUGGCGGACGGGUGAGGAAUACAUCGGAAUCUACUUUUUCGUGGGGGAUAACGUAGGGAAACUUACGCUAAUACCGCAUACGACCUACGGGUGAAAGCAGGGGAUCUUCGGACCUUGCGCGAUUGAAUGAGCCGAUGUCGGAUUAGCUAGUUGGCGGGGUAAAGGCCCACCAAGGCGACGAUCCGUAGCUGGUCUGAGAGGAUGAUCAGCCACACUGGAACUGAGACACGGUCCAGACUCCUACGGGAGGCAGCAGUGGGGAAUAUUGGACAAUGGGCGCAAGCCUGAUCCAGCCAUACCGCGUGGGUGAAGAAGGCCUUCGGGUUGUAUAGCCCUUUUGUUGGGAAAGAAAUCCAGCUGGUUAAUACCCGGUUGGGAUGACGGUACCCAAAGAAUAAGCACCGGCUAACUUCGUGCCAGCAGCCGCGGUAAUACGAAGGGUGCAAGCGUUACUCGGAAUUACUGGGCGUAAAGCGUGCGUAGGUGGUCGUUUAAGUCUGUUGUGAAAGCCCUGGGCUCAACCUGGGAACUGCAGUGGACACUGGACGACUAGAGUGUGGUAGAGGGUAGCGGAAUUCCUGGUGUAGCAGUGAAAUGCGUAGAGAUCAGAGGAACAUCCAUGGCGA
rnacentral:rRNA from 1 species